rnacentral:misc_RNA from 1 species
UAUAUGUUUGGUAUGCCAUAUACUUCAGUUUACUCAAAUUCACGUAGUGAACACGAUUUGUAAUGAAGCUGGAGCAGGCAAAUAACCCAUUGGAGAAACAAGUCAAAGAAGGGUCGUAUAAAUUUCCGAACAACCUCUGGAAGAAUGUUAGCAGUGAAGCUAAGGAUCUUAUAACAAAACUGCUUACUGUUGGUCACAGAAAAUGCAUCACGGUUUCAGAAGCUCUGGAACAUCCUUGGAUGAAGGAUAAAGAAAUGAUAGAAAAAGCAGAAAAAAUGAUAAAACCGACCGUGGAUGGAAGAUCAAUGUCUCCGCCCUUAUAAAAGACAUUUUGAAGACAACAGAGACCAAAAAAGCGAAA